UACGGGGGGGGUAAGCGUUGUUCGGAAUUACUGGGCGUAAAGGGCUCGUAGGCGGCCAACUAAGUCAGACGUGAAAUCCCUCAGCUUAACUGGGGAACUGCGUCUGAUACUGGAUGGCUUGGAUUCGGGAGAGGAAUGCGGAAUUCCAGGUGUAGCGGUGAAAUGCGUAGAUAUCUGGAGGAACACCGGUGGCGAAGGCGGCAUUCUGGACCGACAUUGACGCUGAGGAGCGAAAGCCGGGGGAGCAAACAGG
rnacentral:rRNA from 1 species